rnacentral:rRNA from 1 species
AGCUAGUUGGUGAGGUAAUGGCCCACCAAGGCGACGAUCGGUAGCCGGACUGAGAGGUUGAAUGGCCACAUUGGGACUGAGACACGGCCCAGACUCCUACGGGAGGCAGCAGUGGGGAAUAUUGCACAAUGGGGGAAACCCUGAUGCAGCGACGCCGCGUGGAGGAAGAAGGUCUUCGGAUUGUAAACUCCUGUUGUUGAGGAAGAUAAUGACGGUACUCAACAAGGAAGUGACGGCUAACUACGUGCCAGCAGCCGCGGUAAAACGUAGGUCACAAGCGUUGUCCGGAAUUACUGGGAGUAAAGGGAGCGCAGGCGGGCGAUCAAGUUGGAAGUGAAAUCCAUGGGCUCAACCCAUGAACUGCUUUCAAAACUGAUUGUCUUGAGUAGUGCAGAGGUAGGCGGAAUUCCCGGUGUAGCGGUGGAAUGCGUAGAUAUCGGGAGGAACACCAGUGGCGAAGGCGGCCUACUGGGCACCAACUGACGCUGAGGCUCGAAAGUGUGGGUAGCAAACAGGAUUAGAUACCCUGGUAGUCCACACCGUAAACGAUGAUUACUAGGUGUUGGAGGAUUGACCCCUUCAGUGCCGCAGUUAACACAAUAAGUAAUCCACCUGGGGAGUACGACCGCAAGGUUGAAACUCAAAGGAAUUGACGGGGGCCCGCACAAGCAGUGGAGUAUGUGGUUUAAUUCGACGCAACGCGAAGAACCUUACCAAGUCUUGACAUCCUGCGACGAUGCUAGAAAUAGUAUUUUCCUUCGGGACGCAGAGACAGGUGGUGCAUGGUUGCCGUCAGCUCGUGUCGUGAGAUGUUGGGUUAAGUCCCGCAACGAGCGCAACCCUUAUGGUCAGUUACUACGCAAGAGGACUCUGGCCAGACUGCCGUUGACAAAACGGAGGAAGGUGGGGAUGACGUCAAAUCAUCAUGCCCUUUAUGACUUGGGCUACACACGUACUACAAUGGCGUUAAACAAAGAGAAGCAAGACCGCGAGGUGGAGCAAAACUCAGAAACAACGUCCCAGUUCGGACUGCAGGCUGCAACUCGCCUGCACGAAGUCGGAAUUGCUAGUAAUCGUGGAUCAGCAUGCCACGGUGAAUACGUUCCCGGGCCUUGUACACACCGCCCGUCACACCAUGAGAGCCGGGGGGACCCGAGGUCGGUAGUCUAACCGCAAGGAGGACGCCGCCGAAGGUAAAACUGGUGAUUGGGGUGAAGUCGUAACAAGGUAGCCGUAGGAGAACCUGCGGCUG